UACGAAGGGUGCAAGCGUUACUCGGAAUUACUGGGCGUAAAGGGUGCGUAGGUGGUUGUUUAAGUCUGCUGUGAAAGCCCCGGGCUCAACCUGGGAAUGGCAGUGGAUACUGGACAGCUGGAGUGCGGUAGAGGGUAGUGGAAUUCCCGGUGUAGCAGUGAAAUGCGUAGAGAUCGGGAGGAACACCAGUGGCGAAGGCGGCUACCUGGACCAGCACUGACACUGAAGCACGAAAGCGUGGGGAGCAAACAGG
rnacentral:rRNA from 1 species